UACAGGGGGGACAAGCGUUGUUCGGAAUUACUGGGCGUAAAGGGUCUGUAGGUGGCCAACUAAGUCAGACGUGAAAUCCCUCAGCUUAACUGGGGAACUGCGUCUGAUACUGGAUGGCUCGAGUGUGGGAGAGGAAUGCGGAAUUCCAGGUGUAGCGGUGAAAUGCGUAGAUAUCUGGAGGAACACCGGUGGCGAAGGCGGCAUUCUGGACCAUAACUGACACUGAGAGACGAAAGCCAGGGGAGCAAACGGG
rnacentral:rRNA from 1 species